AGAAGGGUCAGACUUUUACUAAUGAAGUGAUGAUAGUGGUUCUUUAUGCCUCCCCAUCGCCUCUAACCCCAGCUCAUCACACUUCUCUACAAGUAUAGACAAAGCCAAAAUGAGUUGCCUGGAGGCUGACCGAGCUGAAGAUGCCACAAGUGGAGCCAUGAAUCACUGUCUGAUAAACCUAGGAGCUUGGUGACAGGAGGGAGGCAAGCAGACAUUCAGGUGUAGGAGUUCUAACCUUACUCAGUUAAGAAACACCAUCACAUGUUCUUGAUGCUCUUGAUCUUAUGGCAAGAGCACAGAGAAAAGCACCACAGUCAAAAUGAGGCAUAGACUCCAUACAGGAUCAGGUGAUUCAGAGGAACACUACAGUAGGCAGACAUGGGAUAAUCCGACACCAUGAAGGUCUCAUCCUAAACUACAGUAGAGAUUGGUUUCAAUCCUGAAGCAUGCUCUGGCUAUUGUCAUUAUCUAUA